rnacentral:rRNA from 1 species
UACGUAGGGGCUAGCGUUAUCCGGAUUUACUGGGCGUAAGGGGUGCGUAGGCGGUCUUUCAAGUCAGGAGUGAAAGGCUACGGCUCAACCGUAGUAAGCUCUUGAAACUGUAAGACUUGAGUGCAGGAGAGGAGAAUGGAAUUCCUAGUGUAGCGGUGAAAUGCGUAGAUAUUAGGAGGAACACCAGUAGCGAAGGCGGCUCUCUGGACUGUAACUGACGCUGAGGCACGAAAGCGUGGGGAGCGAACAGGAUUAGAUACCCUGGUAGU